GAACGCUGGCGGCGUGCCUAACACAUGCAAGUCGAGCGGGGACAUGCGACGGAAGAGAAGUUUCGGAUGGAUCUGAAGAUGUAUGUUCUAGCGGCGGACGGGUGAGUAACGCGUGAGCAACCUGUCCUUCACAGGGGGAUAACACAGCGAAAGUUGUACUAAUACCGCAUAAGACCACGUUGGGACACCCCCAAAGGGGUCAAAGGAGCAAUCCGGUGAAGGGUGGGCUCGCGUCCGAUUAGAUAGUUGGUGAGGUAACGGCCCACCAAGUCGACGAUCGGUAGCCGACCUGAGAGGGUGAUCGGCCACAUUGGGACUGAGACACGGCCCAAACUCCUACGGGAGGCAGCAGUGGGGAAUAUUGGGCAAAUGGGGGAAACCCUGACCCAGCAACGCCGCGUGAGGGAAGAAGGUUUUCGGAUCGUAAACCUCUGUCCCAGGUGAAGAGCAAGAGACGGUAACCUGGGAGGAAGCCCCGGCUAACUACGUGCCAGCCGCCGC
rnacentral:rRNA from 1 species